rnacentral:rRNA from 1 species
UUUUAUUUGAGAGUUUGAUCCUGGCUCAGGAUGAACGCUGGCGGCGUGCCUAACACAUGCAAGUUGAGCGAUUUACUUCGGUAAAGAGCGGCGGACGGGUGAGUAACGCGUGGGUAACCUACCCUGUACACACGGAUAACAUACCGAAAGGUAUGCUAAUACGGGAUAAUAUAUUUGAGAGGCAUCUCUUGAAUAUCAAAGGUGAGCCAGUACAGGAUGGACCCGCGUCUGAUUAGCUAGUUGGUAAGGUAACGGCUUACCAAGGCGACGAUCAGUAGCCGACCUGAGAGGGUGAUCGGCCACAUUGGAACUGAGACACGGUCCAAACUCCUACGGGAGGCAGCAGUGGGGAAGAUUGCACAAUGGGCGAAAGCCUGAUGCAGCAACGCCGCGUGAGUGAUGAAGGCCGUCGGGUCGUAAAACUCUGUCCUCAAGGAAGAUAAUGACGGUACUGGAGGAGGAAGCCCCGGCUAACUACGUGCCAGCAGCCGCGGUAAUACGUAGGGGGCUAGCGUUAUCCGGAUUUACUGGGCGUAAAGGGUGCGUAGGCGGUCUUUCAAGUCAGGAGUGAAAGGCUACGGCUCAACCGUAGUAAGCUCUUGAAACUGGGAGACUUGAGUGCAGGAGAGGAGAGUGGAAUUCCUAGUGUAGCGGUGAAAUGCGUAGAUAUUAGGAGGAACACCAGUUGCGAAGGCGGCUCUCUGGACUGUAACUGACGCUGAGGCACGAAAGCGUGGGGAGCAAACAGGAUUAGAUACCCUGGUAGUCCACGCUGUAAACGAUGAGUACUAGGUGUCGGGGGUUACCCCC